rnacentral:rRNA from 1 species
UACGGGGGGAGCAAGCGUUGUUCGGAUUUACUGGGCGUAAAGGGCGCGUAGGCGGCGCAACAAGUCACUUGUGAAAUCUCCGGGCUUAACCCGGAGCGGCCAAGUGAUACUGUCGUGCUAGAGUGCGGAAGGGGCUACUGGAAUUCUCGGUGUAGCGGUGAAAUGCGUAGAUAUCGAGAGGAACACCUGCGGCGAAGGCGGGUAGCUGGGCCGACACGUGACGCUGGACUGCGCGAAAGCCAGGGGAGCGAACGGG